rnacentral:rRNA from 1 species
UAGGGAAUCUUCCACAAUGGACGCAAGUCUGAUGGAGCAACGGCCGCGUGAGUGAAGAAGGUUUUCGGACCGUAAAGCUCUGUUGUUGGUGAAGAAGGAUAGAGGUAGUAACUGGCCUUUAUUUGACGGUAAUCAACCAGAAAGUCACGGCUAACUACGUGCCAGCAGCCGCGGUAAUACGUAGGUGGCAAGCGUUGUCCGGAUUUAUUGGGCGUAAAGCGAGCGCAGGCGGAAGAAUAAGUCUGAUGUGAAAGCCCUCGGCUUAACCGAGGAAUUGCAUCGGAAACUGUUUUCUUGAGUGCAGAAGAGGAGAGUAGAAACUCCAUGUGUAGCGGUGGAAUGCGUAGAUAUAUGGAAGAAUACCAGUGGCGAAGGCGGCUCUCUGGUCUGCAACUGACGCUGAGGCUCGAAAGCAUGGGUAGCGAACAGGAUUAGAUACCCUGGUAGUCCAUGCCGUAAAACGAUGAGUGCUAAGUGUUGGGAA